CCUACGGGUGGCAGCAGUGGGGAAUAUUGGGCAAUGGGCGCAAGCCUGACCCCGCCACGCCGCGUGAAGGAAGAAGGCUUUCGGGUUGUAAACUUCUUUUAUCCGGGACGAAGCAAGUGACGGUACCUGAUGAAUAAGCCACGGCUAACUACGUGCCAGCAGCCGCGGUACUCCGUAGGUGGCAAGCGUUAUCCGGAUUUACUGGGUGUAAAGGGCGGGUAGGCGGGAGUGCAAGUCAGAUGUGAAAACUAUGGGCUCAACCCAGAGCCUGCAUUUGAAACUGGACGUCUUGAGUGCUGUAGAGGGGAUCGGAAGUCCGGGUGUAGCGGUGAAAUGCGUAGAUAUACGGAGGAACACCAGUGGCGAAGGCGGAUUGCUGGACAGUAACUGACGCUGAGGCGCGAAAGCGUGGGGAGCAAACAGGAUUAGAUACCCCUGUAGUC
rnacentral:rRNA from 1 species